UGUGUGUGUGUGUAUGUGUGUGUGUGUGUUGGGGGGAGUUUUGUAAUUUGUGCCACAUAUAAAUUUGAAGUAAAUGUAACUGUGUAUUCUGUUGUUUCGGUCACAUUAUUCACUUGUUUUUAGUAAAUUCGACUUUGAUAUUUUUCCACAUUUAAUAAGAACAUGUCUUUUUCC